rnacentral:rRNA from 1 species
GACGAACGCUGGCGGCGCGCUUAACACAUGCAAGUCGAGCGAAGCGGCGGACGGGUGAGUAACACGUGAGUAACCUGCCUUAGACAUUGGGAUAGCCUCGGGAAACCGGGAUAAAUACCAACUGGUCUCAGUUGGACUCGCGUCCCAUUAGCAAGUUGGUGAGGUAACGGCCCACCAAGGCGACGAUGGGUAGCCGGCCUGAGAGGGGGAACGGCCACAUUGGAACUGAGAGACGGUCCAAACUCUACGGGAGGAAGCAGUGGGGAAUAUUGCACAAGGGAGGGAACUCUGAUGCAGCGACGCCGCGUGAACGAAGAAGGCUUUCGAGUCGUAAAGUUCUUUUAUAUGGGAAGCGGUACCAUAAGAAAAAGCCCCGGCUAACUACGUGCCAGCAGCCGCGGUAAUUC